AUGGGCUUGCGUGGAAGAAGACUUCCGCUGGGAGUCUUCAACUAUUUUUUUUUCUUUUUGUUUUCUUUUUCAUGACCUAAGAUUCGUGUAAGGGGAUGGAAUUUUAGGGCUGGAUAUCACAUUCUACCUUCUUUGAAAAUAGUUUCAUCCUUGAAACUUGAUAUAACUUCAUUUUCAAAUAAGUGAAGAUACUUUAUCUUCAUAUUAUUUUUAUUAU
rnacentral:lncRNA from 1 species